UACAGAGGGGGCAAGCGUUGUUCGGAAUUACUGGGCGUAAAGGGCGCGUAGGCGGCCCGCUAAGUCGAACGUGAAAUCCCCGGGCUCAACCCGGGAACUGCGUCCGAUACUGGUGGGCUUGAAUCCGGGAGAGGGAUGCGGAAUUCCAGGUGUAGCGGUGAAAUGCGUAGAUAUCUGGAGGAACACCGGUGGCGAAGGCGGCAUCCUGGACCGGUAUUGACGCUGAGGCGCGAAAGCCAGGGGAGCGAACGGG
rnacentral:rRNA from 1 species